rnacentral:misc_RNA from 1 species
CAACAUCAAGCCCGCCACUUUGAAGGUUUUAAGUACUUUGGCCCAUAGUCUUAUUUUUAAUAUUGAGCCGAAGAAGCUUCUUUCAAUUAUAGGCCAGAAAACUCCCCAAACCCAAAACACUGUCCCAACCCCUAAACCCAACAUUACUAAACUCAACCCUUUGGACCAAAUCUCAGAUCUCAUCCAAACACCCAAUAAAAAUAUAAGAAAAGACUCUCUUCCACAACACUUGCUUUUGGUGAAAAGAAAUAGAAAGGAUGAAGCUACAAGUGACCCUUGCAAAAAAAUUUGCACAGAGGUG